GUUACUUCUUUCUCUUCUCUUUCUUCUUCUCUUUCUUCUUUUCUUUCUCUCUUUCCUUCUUUAUUUAAGUUAUGAAUUCUGUAGACAUGACGGAGAUUGUACAAUGCUGUUGACGUUCCAACACCACUCAACAUUGCGGGCAUAUAUUUUUUUGUGGUAAUUGCUCUCCCUGCACUGGAAGCAGCCAACAAAAGGCCACCCAAUGCUCCAAUUUUAUGUCCAAGAGGUUCAGAUCUGUGUUUUAUUUGAAAUCCAGAAAAAGCGAGAAUUGCACCAAUCGAAC
rnacentral:ribozyme from 13 species